UUGUCUGAUUAUAAUUUGCUUUCAUGUGUUAUGUGUGCGAAUUUUAAAAGACAUAACAUAUUACUCGAACAUUUUAAUUAAAGGACAAUCGAAACAAAACAAACAUAACGUGAGUAUGUAAACAUGUAACACAACCAGCAGUUCAUAUGGGUUCCUUGCACUGUACUACACAUGUUCUCCAGCACCCUGCCAAAAAAUAUAAAAGAAAAUUAUUCAUAUAUGAAACCCUUGACUUAAACAUAGAAUAUAAGUACAUUGCAAUUGUUGUUGUUUAAGUCAGCGAUAUCAUAUCAAGCUGAUAUUGUUUUUCUUUAAUGGCAAAUAGUGUUUGUUAUGCUAUUAUAACAUUUCUAAACUAUUCUAAACUAAAGUUCUUUGCAUUGUCAUUGAUGGAUACAUAGACUAACUUCAAUUUAAUUAUCUGAUAUGUCCAGAAAUGGUAAAGUGAUUUAUUUACUAAUGACGUCGAUGGGUAUAGACCAAUAACGGGAGGGAUUGUGCUUGAUAUUCAUAUGAUGAAGACAUAAUCUUUCAAUUAUUCAACCAGUCUGGAGCUGGCAUUUCAGUAACUGCUAGUAGUCCUUUUUUUUUUAUUAAUGCAUUAUUUUCAUUUUGCUUAGUUUCUUUUGUUACCUAUUAUGACAUCGCUGGACUUGGACUUGGACUUCUUUUAAACUGCGUGUGCGUAUUGCUGUGUGUUUAUUUUUUGUACAUUGGCUAGACGUAUUAGGUUGGGGGGGGGGGGGGGUAGGGUAGAUUUCAAGAAAAACAAGUUUAACCUCGCCGCAUUUUUGCGCCUGUCCCAAGUAAUGAGCCUCUGGCAUUUGUUAGUCUUGUAUGAUUUUUAAUUUUAGUUCACUUAUAUAUUUCCGAGUUUAGUAUGACAUCAAUUAUCACUGACUAAUACAUAUCUUUGUUAAGGGGCCAGCUGAGGCAGGCCUUCGGUCGGGUUGUUUUCUCCAUGACACAUUCCCCAUUUCCAUUUUCAAUUUCAUAACUUAUGUUUAAUUAUCUAACUUGUCCAGGAAUUCUGUGAUUUUAUAUAAUAAUGUUGUUGAAAGAUAUAUAGACUAAAUGAUUAAUUAUCGCUUCCUGGUCAAGGAAUUGUAACUUACCUUAUUAUCUACCUGGUCUAGGAAUUGUGGUGGUAGUUGUAUGUGCAGGGGUCGUCGUGUGACUUUUGCAUCGUCCUUCUACAUCUGAAUCAAAAAUAUUAACCUUGUAUAAACAAGCAUGUGUAAGACAUAUGGAUGGUCUGUCCUUUUUGAAAUAUAAAAGUGGUAUUUUGAUUUUUUGGUGUGUUGAAACUAUUUAAAUAAUAGCACAAACUAUUCACUUUGAACACCAAUUUAUCCUUAAAAUAUAUUUAUCAAAGUACUGAGAACUCUGACACAGCGGUAACGAUCAAAUGGACCAGUCAGAUGUAUAUGUUCAUUUCUAUCUUUACCGAAUUUUAACCUUGAAAAUUAGGUCAAGG
rnacentral:lncRNA from 1 species